GAGAGUAUAGCUCAGGGACAGAAUGCUUGCCUAGCAUGCAUGAGGUCCUGGGUUCAGUCCCCAGUACCUCCA
rnacentral:tRNA from 1 species